UGGGGAAUAUUGGACAAUGGGGGGAACCCUGAUCCAGCAAUGCCGCGUGUGUGAAGAAGGCCUGCGGGUUGUAAAGCACUUUCAGUAGGGAGGAGGUUACUUAGGUUAAGAGCUAGAGUGAUGGACGUUACCUACAGAAGAAGCACCGGCUAACUCCGUGCCAGCAGCCGCGGUAAUACGGAGGGUGCAAGCGUUAAUCGGAAUUACUGGGCGUAAAGGGUGCGUAGGUUGUUUGGUAAGCUAUCUGUGAAAUGCCUGGGCUUAACCUGGGCAGGUCAGAUAAGACUGUCAGACUCGAGUAUGGGAGAGGGUAGUGGAAUUUCCGGUGUAGCGGUGAAAUGCGUAGAGAUCGGAAGGAACAUCGGUGGCGAAGGCGGCUCACUGGCCCGGAACUGACGCUGAGGUGCGAAAGCGUGGGGAGCAAAC
rnacentral:rRNA from 1 species